UGGCCAAACUACCCUUCGGAACACAAUACCCUCGGGAAACUGAGGCUAAUAGUGUAUACCACAGUCCACCUGGAAUGAGGACUGUGUCAAACGCUCCGGCGCCGAAGGAUGUGGCUGCGGCCGAUUAGGUAGACGGUGGGGUAACGGCCCACCGUGCCAAUAAUCGGUACGGGUCAUGAGAGUGAGAACCCGGAGACGGAAUCUGAGACAAGAUUCCGGGCCCUACGGGGCGCAGCAGGCGCGAAACCUUUACACUGCACGACAGUGCGAUAAGGGAAUCCCAAGUGCGUAGGCAUAGAGCCUACGCUUUUGUACACCCUAGGGCGGUGUACGAAUAAGGGCUGGGCAAGACCGGUGCCAGCCGCCGCGGUAAUACCGGCAGCCCGAGUGAUGGCCGAUCUUAUUGGGCCUAAAGCGUCCGUAGCUGGCCGCACAAGUCCAUCGGAAAAUCCACCCGCUCAACGGGUGGGCGUCCGGUGGAAACUGUGUGGCUUGGGACCGGAAGGCGCGACGGGUACGUCCGGGGUAGGAGUGAAAUCCUGUAAUCCUGGACGGACCGCCGAUGGCGAAAGCACGUCGCGAGAACGGAUCCGACAGUGAGGGACGAAAGCUAGGGUCUCGAACCGGAUUAGAUACCCGGGUAGUCCUAGCCGUAAACAAUGCCUGUUAGGUGUGGCUCCCACUACGAGUGGGUGCUGUGCCGUAGGGAAGCCGCUAAACAGGCCGCCUGGGAAGUACGUCCGCAAGGAUGAAACUUAAAGGAAUUGGCGGGGGAGCACUACAACCGGAGGAGCCUGCGGUUUAAUUGGACUCAACGCCGGACAUCUCACCAGCGUCGACUGUAAUAAUGACGAUCAGGUUGAUGACCUUAUCCGAGUUUCAGAGAGGAGGUGCAUGGCCGCCGUCAGCUCGUACCGUGAGGCGUCCUGUUAAGUCAGGCAACGAGCGAGACCCGCAUCCUUACUUGCCAGCAGCACUGCGAAGUGGCUGGGGACAGUAAGGAGACCGCCGUGGCCAACACGGAGGAAGGAACGGGCAACGGUAGGUCAGUAUGCCCCGAAUGCGCUGGGCAACACGCGGGCUACAAUGGUCAGGACAAAGGGUUCCUACUCCGAAAGGAGACGGUAAUCUCAGAAACCUGAUCGUAGUUCGGAUUGUGGGCUGCAACUCGCCCACAUGAAGCUGGAUUCGGUAGUAAUCGCGUGUCACAAGCGCGCGGUGAAUACGUCCCUGCUCCUUGCACACACCGCCCGUCAAAGCA
rnacentral:rRNA from 1 species